GAGCCCUACGAGACGCAGCAGUGGGGAAUAUUGCACAAUGGGGGAAACCCUGAUGCAGCAACGCCGCGUGAGUGAAGAAGUCAUUCGUGAUGUAAAGCUCUAUCAGCAGGGAAGAUAAUGACGGUACCUGACUAAGAAGCCCCGGCUAACUACGUGCCAGCAGCCGCGGUAAUACGUAGGGGGCAAGCGUUAUCCGGAUUUACUGGGUGUAAAGGGAGCGUAGGUGGCAGGGCAAGUCAGAUGUGAAAACCCGGGGCUCAACUCCGGGAGUGCAUUUGAAACUGUCCAGC
rnacentral:rRNA from 1 species